UGGGGGAUAUUGCACAAUGGGGGAAACCCUGAUGCAGCGACGCCGCGUGGAGGAAGAAGGUUUUCGGAUUGUAAACUCCUGUCGUUAGGGACGAUAAUGACGGUACCUAACAAGAAAGCACCGGCUAACUACGUGCCAGCAGCCGCGGUAAAACGUAGGGUGCAAGCGUUGUCCGGAAUUACUGGGUGUAAAGGGAGCGCAGGCGGGAAGACAAGUUGGAAGUGAAAACCAUGGGCUCAACCCAUGAAUUGCUUUCAAAACUGUUUUUCUUGAGUAGUGCAGAGGUAGAUGGAAUUCCCGGUGUAGCGGUGGAAUGCGUAGAUAUCGGGAGGAACACCAGUGGCGAAGGCGGUCUACUGGGCACCAACUGACGCUGAGGCUCGAAAGCAUGGGUAGCAAACAGGAUUAGAUACCCUGGUAGUCCAUGCCGUAAACGAUGAUUACUAGGUGUUGGGGGAUUGACCCCCUCAGUGCCGCAGUUAACACAAUAAGUAAUCCACCUGGGGAGUACGACCGCAAGGUUGAAACUCAAAGGAAUUGACGGGGGCCCGCACAAGCAGUGGAGUAUGUGGUUUAAUUCGAAGCAACGCGAAGAACCUUACCAGGUCUUGACAUCCGAUGCAUAGCACAGAGAUGUGUGAAAUCCUUCGGGACAUCGAGACAGGUGGUGCAUGGUUGUCGUCAGCUCGUGUCGUGAGAUGUUGGGUUAAGUCCCGCAACGAGCGCAACCCUUAUGGUCAGUUACUACGCAAGAGGACUCUGGCCAGACUGCCGUUGACAAAACGGAGGAAGGUGGGGAUGACGUCAAAUCAUCAUGCCCUUUAUGACUUGGGCUACACACGUACUACAAUGGCGUUAAACAAAGAGAAGCAAGACCGCGAGGUGGAGCAAAACUCAGAAACAACGUCCCAGUUCGGACUGCAGGCUGCAACUCGCCUGCACGAAGUCGGAAUUGCUAGUAAUCGCAGAUCAGAAUGCUGCGGUGAAUACGUUCCC
rnacentral:rRNA from 1 species